AUGGAUCGAAAGAAGCAUUCUCUUGGGUCUCAAUGCACCUUUUACUUUUUACAACUUCUCCACAAGUUCUUUGGCAUUAAGGGUGCGACAAAACUUGCUCAAAGAGUGCUAUCCCAAACAAUAAUAACCUUUUCAAAUGUAGCCGGUCCGCUCGAUGAAGUUUCUUGCUGAGGCUAUCCAUUUUCAUUCCUUGGCCCAACAUGCUAUGGCCAUCCCACAGGGUUGACGGUUCAUGUAUGUAGCUAUGCCAAGAAGUUAACAUUUGCUAUAGCCGUUGACGAAGGAAUGAUUCCGGAUCGGGAUCAGCUUGGUGAUGAUUUUGUCAAUUCAUGCAUUCUUAUCAACGAGGCUACCCUCGCAAACUUGAGAACCAAGGUUGACUAGCUUAUUACACAUUUGAAAGCUCAAUGAAAUUUGAAACUUGGUCUUUAUGUGAUGAUCAUAGACGAGUACAUUUAUGA